GAUGAACGCUAGCGGCAGGCUUAAUACAUGCAAGUCGAGGGGCAGCAUGAUUGUAGCAAUACAAUUGAUGGCGACCGGCAAACGGGUGCGGAACACGUACACAACCUUCCAACAAGUGGGGGAUAGCCCAGAGAAAUUUGGAUUAAUACCCCGUAACAUAGUGAUGUGUCAUCACAUUGCUAUUAUAGAUUUUUCGCUUGUUGAUGGGUGUGCGGCUGAUUAGAUAGUUGGCGGGGUAACGGCCCACCAAGUCUACGAUCAGUAGCUGAUGUGAGGGCAUGAUCAGCCACACGGGAACUGAGACACGGGCCCGACUCCUACGGGAGGCAGCAGUAAGGAAUAUUGGACAAUGGACGCAAGUCUGAUCCAGCCAUGCCGCGUGAAGGAUUAAGGUCCUCUGGAUUGUAAACUUCUUUUAUAAGGGACGAAAAAAGGCUUUUCUAAGUCGUCUGACGGUACCUUAUGAAUAAGCACCGGCUAACUCCGUGCCAGCAGCCGCCGUAACAC
rnacentral:rRNA from 1 species